GACGCCCUUAGGUGACAGGCUGACAGCGGUUUUCAUCUAUGGCGUUCCUCUCCCCUGGCCCCUGCUCCGAUUGCGGAGGUGGUGGUAGCGCUGGCGCCGGAGGGAUGACCUGGAGCCGACGGCUAUUCCCCCUCUCGCGCUUGGAGUACCGUGCAAUGAUCCGGCGGAGCAAGAGGCGAUAAUGGGUCGGCUGUCCUCUCUCCGAUGGCCGAUGUCGGAGUAGAAGCAUCAGUGCGCACCACCACUAGCUCUUCCUCGACCCUCCUUGCGACAGCCUUCCGCUGCGGCCACUGCCUCCUCCUGGACCGCGCUUCAGCAACAUGCAGCACCUUCAUUGCCCGUGCUUCAUCUGACACACUGGAGGGUUUGCACCAAGCCUCCAUCACUGUCCCUGACUGCCUAUCUAUAUGUGUUUUCUCUCACUCGAUGUAUUUGUAUCAUAUGAAAUCGAAAUGCAAUGGACUGAUGUAUUGGUAAAUGUAGGAUUGUAGAUGGUAUCUCUGUUUUUUUGUCUGUUUUUGGUUUGGACAGAAGCAUUCUCAUGUUGUGCAAGAGAAGUGGAAGAACUGCAAGUAAGGAAAGGA